AGAUACUUGAAAUCGAAGGCAAGCCAGCAGUAACACAUCAGCUCAUAAAUGGCUACAUGGAGCAUUGCAAAAAAGGAUGUGACAACUGCAGACAUAUAAUGCAGAUGGUACGUCUGACUGUUACGGAGGCCAAAGAAUGGUGUCGUAAAAAUUUCGAGAUCUUGUGCUAUGCUGAGCAUUUUUCUGUGCGAUUUUGGUCUGGUUC